rnacentral:rRNA from 1 species
CUCCUGGAAAACGGGUGGUAAUGCCGGAUGUUCCACAUGAUCGCAUGUGAUUGUGGGAAAGAUUUCAUCGGCGUGGGAUGGGGUCGCGUCCUAUCAGCUUGUUGGUGAGGUAACGGCUCACCAAGGCUUCGACGGGUAGCCGGCCUGAGAGGGCGACCGGCCACAUUGGGACUGAGAUACGGCCCAGACUCCUACGGGAGGCAGCAGUGGGGAAUAUUGCACAAUGGGCGCAAGCCUGAUGCAGCGACGCCGCGUGAGGGAUGGAGGCCUUCGGGUUGUAAACCUCUUUUGUUUGGGAGCAAGCCUUCGGGUGAGUGUACCUUUCGAAUAAGCGCCGGCUAACUACGUGCCAGCAGCCGCGGUAAUACGUAGGGCGCAAGCGUUAUCCGGAUUUAUUGGGCGUAAAGGGCUCGUAGGCGGCUCGUCGCGUCCGGUGUGAAAGUCCAUCGCUUAACGGUGGAUCUGCGCCGGGUACGGGCGGGCUGGAGUGCGGUAGGGGAGACUGGAAUUCCCGGUGUAACGGUGGAAUGUGUAGAUAUCGGGAAAGAACACCA